CUAGUGAUUCCUCUGACUUGGCCUCCCAAAGUGCUGGGAUUACAGGCAUGAGCCACCACACCCAGCUGCUUGUUAAGCUUGAGAAUAGAGUUGCUGGCCGUCCUUCUGUAAGCUCUCAGUCUGUCUGCAGAGGCCAGCCUUAAGGUAACUGUUUCCGCUGCUCAGAUGGCCCCAAGCAGGGGGAUCCCAGGUGUGAUAUUGGGUACAUUGGUCAUCCGUCUGCCUCCCACCUGGAUGGAAACAGUCUGAGAUACACACUUACCUACGUCCUCUUUCCCAGCAUUGGACUUGAAUGCUGCUAUUGGUGCACAUUUCUGCAGACGUGUCUCUGGCUCUCAGGAUGCAGAAUGUCGGUGGGUCCAGUGUGGGGGCUGCCAAAGGGGGUGUCAUGUGCUCUGUGGAUUUUUGUGUGAUUGUAAUGGUCCCAGCUGAAGUUCUCCUGCUUGUUGCAGUAAAACCUCUCUUCAGUGUCUGUUACCUUUCUCUAUAUUCUUGGUGAAGGAGAGAGAUAGUCAUAAGGGCCCUGAAUGAGGUAAGAAGAGAAGAUGCUGUUCUCUGCUUCCUCCCCGCCACCAGCAUUCCUUCUGCCCUGUUUUUCCUGGCCAGCUCUACUCUGGGCAGUCCAAGCCUGUGAACCAGCCACACCCAGGAUCUGUGCUGGAGCUCAGUCCCAGACUGUUCUGGUAGAGUCGCCCAGAGGAGCCGUGUGGUCUCCCAUUCAGCAACAGAGUACGAGAUGGUCUCUCUGAAGGGCAGAGGGUCUAAGCACUGCCCUCUUCCUAGCUUCUAAGGCUGAAAUGCUGAAUGAUGCAAUGAGAGGAUUCCAGGGGAGAAAAGGAGCUGUACAUGGGCUUGAUUCUUCUCUCCCCAGCUGGUGGACACAGCACCAGAGGUGGAGCUGGAGGCCAGGCCCUCCACUGACCCACGUGUACUCCACUUUGCAGUUGUACCCCGGGACACACUUCUAUCUCAAAGUGUUAUGAAUUCCAACCACUGGACUCUACCCUACUUCUGACAUAAUCUUCUUGGGUUGAUAGUAGCCUCUCUCAUUACUGAAUACUUCUUCUUAUGUGUAGCCCUGGUUAGUCAUUUUCUUUUAACUUUUUGUUUAAAGAAAACCUGUAGAUAUGAGCUUUCUGUCAGAGAUGAUCUCUCCAGGCCUGAGUCUAAACUGUUGACCCUCUGUCAGAGAAUGAGGGCUGGCUCUUGCAUUUCAGGCGCUUUGACAUUUACUGAGGGAAAGAAGGAGCCAAGUUCUCCUAUGGCUCCUAUGCUCAUGGAGGGAGUGAGCAUAAAGCACUGACCUGAGUGGAAUGGCGGGUUGACUUGCCAGAGCCUGGAGAUGAUUACACUCUGUCAGCUUUGAGACAAGCUGUCCAAUUUCCCCAAAACCAAUUUGACAAUUGUCGAGUGACCAAUUUGCUGAAUUAGAAGAAUUUACUAAUUUACCAAAUUACGUAUUUCUUUUAUGCAUUUCUAAAGACUUGAGCAAUUGGCAUGGGCUGGGUUGGCAGGGCCUGAAAGGGUUGGAGCAAUGAGUCAGAAGCAAUGGUCUCUGGGAACAACCCUGUAGGUGGCACCACUCUCCAGACUGAGAGGGGCACUGGGUGGAUGGUGGAGAGUUAGGGGAGGCUUCGCUGCAGAGAUCUGAGUCUUACUGACUCUUUGGUUCCUGUUUUUGAAGCAAUCCUUAUUUUUUAUCAUCUUUGUUUCUCAAAAGUCAGUCAGCUCACCACUGUGGAUUCUUCCCUGACUUCCUGGCCGUACACACUUCCCAUCCUCACACCGCCUGACUUGUUUGGCUCUUCUCUCUCUCUUUCUCCUCCUUCACUCUGGAGCAACACCAAAGCCCUCUCAUGUCUUCCUGUGGAGCACUGGCAGAACAGCACAGCCCUCUCCUUACUGUUUUGUUCUUAUGACCCUCAGACCUUCAGGGACUCACUUUCUCCCACAGCACUGUAGCCAAAAGAAAGAUUUCUUUCCUAAGAGAGAUUAUGGUAUCAGCUCUUCAAAUACCAUUAAAUUUUUAUUUUCUACACAUAAAUACAUUCUUAUGGUUUUGGAAAAUGUAUAAAACCAAAAUUUUUGCAAACUCACUGUGAUAGCCUUCAUAUAUUAGGCAUUCAAUCAAUGUUUUAGUGAUUAACAAAUGGGUGGUUUUUAUAGUGAGCCUCACCCUGUUAUAACCAAAUACUUGUGUCAGAGAAACUAGCUUGCUUUUAUAUCAAGAUCAUGGCCCUGGAUUUUGAUAAUGCCACAGAAAUAUUGUCAAGCGUUGUUCAGUCGGCUCUGCUCUUUCCAAGUUGAGGUGAGUGAGCUAAGGGAGCCAACCAAAGGAAGGGUUGGUUUCCUGCUCCUUUUUUCUCCUCCCCUUAACUCUUUGCUUAAAGAACUCUCUGAGGCCAUAAACUACUAGGACACAACUGCCUAUUCAUUAGCCAUUUAUAACUAAGUUUCUGUUUGUUGGACCAAUAAUUAAUUGAUAGGGUUAUAGGAAAUCCUAUGCUCCUGUAACUGAGAAGACACUGUCUAAAUGUGGAUCCAGAUUGAGAAGGUCCUUUGGGGUCUGUUGCUCCUAUCAUUGACCUGACCCACAUGGAGUCUCAAAUUCAGACCUCUCGGAAAAAGGAAGAAAGGCUCCAUCCACAGUGGGGAUUAAAAAAACCCAGAAACAUCUAUUCAUGGUCUUGGAAUUGAACCUUAAGGCAAAGCCGGAUCUCAGAUAAGAUUGAUAGAUGAUGAACUUGCAGUCCACACCCCAUUCCUGUUGAUAUGCUCCACCUCUUUCUAUUGCUGGGGUGUGAUUACUUCAAAGCCAGGAAGAGCUGCAAUCUAAUUUUAGAGGAAUGCCCUUCUUGUACACAUUGGUGAGUAUAUAUCUUAAUAUAUGAUGUAUUUAUCUAUAUAAUUUUAGUAGUUGUAUAAGAAAAAUUGGGAUAGGUAAACAAAAGGGAGCAGCUGAAAAGUCUACCUAUAAAGGCUUCAGGUUAACAUAGUCACUUAUAUUGGCUCUACCACAAAUCUGUGGGGAUGACUUUUAUUUGUUGGGAAGGGUUGUCUUUGAAUUUCCUGUAAAGUUUGGCAUUUUAAAUCUUUUUUUUUGACUCUUCUCCUGUGAAAUAUAUAUCUUGGAAACUUGGCUGUUUCUGUUUCCUGAGCUUCACAGUGAACCACAAAACCAGCAGUAACUGUAAUCCACCUCUUAAAAUGUAAUCCCUUGGGACAGUCCAUCUCAAUGGCAGAAAAAGAAACACUGUCCUAGCAGAGUAAGGGUGAAGAUAAGGAGAGCGAUGACCUAUUCCUGUACUUAUCUGGGAGCACAUGUAGGUAUGAGUAACAGGAUCAAGAGAUGCCAAGGGUGAAGGGAGAUGUAGGAGCCCAUGGAUUGCGUGAGGGAAAUAUGGAUCCUGUGAAGGGCAAGCUGUUUUCUUUGUGUGGACGACCCAGAUAAAGCAAUGAAAAUGGAUAAUAAGGACACUAAGGACAAGAGCCUUCCAAGGCAUUAAGGCAAAUGAGAUUGUAGCAUGGAUACAGAAGAGAAAGGAGAGAGAGAAAAAGUAGAUGGAAAAGUAAAUGACUCAAACCUUCCAUUACUGAAAGUUCCAAAUAUUUCUUUAAUGGCUAUCACCAGAUUGUAGGCCUUCAUUUUUCACCGGUCAGCAUUCCCUCGUCUUCUUUCUGUUCAUAACAAAAGUGAGUUCCUCUUCUGACCACUAGAGGUCUCUAGAGAAUCACAGAUCAACCUUUGAAGCCUGAUACCCUCUUGCUAUCAACCACUCUAGGAGGUGGAAAUGUUUAUUUUUCCAACAUGAAUAGUCACAUAGUCACAGGAGAUCCAAGGCCUGAGACUUAAAUUUCUAAAAAUUAAAAAAUGUAUAUAGCUGCCUACUCAACUUCAAGCUGCCUACUCAACUUCAAGCUGGCACUGACCAUCAUCCCUCAAAUAUGUCCCUUGCUAUUUUGAUGGUAGAAAUUCUGCUAUUACACAGAAUAACAGCACUGCUUCUACUAAAAAGGCAAAUGCUUUGGAAGCCUAAUUUAUACAAUCAUAAUGAGUUAUUUAUACCAUAGUAUGAGUGACUCCGUUGGGCCUCUGCCAUUGUGAUUACGAAGGAUGACAGAUCAGGGUUGCUGGGGAGACGAGGAGGGCAAUGAAAGAGGAGGUGAAGACAAAUUUCAUCUACUUCACACCAUUGCAGCGGUCUGAUCCCAGGUCCUCUUCCAACUUCCUCCCUCAGUAAGUGCUGUGGGUGUGUAACCCAACUCUGGGGUCAAGUGAACAAACUGCCCUCAGCUUCCUUAAGUCUUCCUGUUCAAGACAAUGACUUCCAGACUUUCCUGGGACACUGACAUUAUCACCUCUGGAGUCCUUGAUGUGACUCUCUUCCUGGUCACAUGAACUGUAGCUAUUUUGGGCGUGUCCAACGUGUUUGACAGUGCCGGUGAUGACAAGUGUACAUUUCAACAUUCCAUUAUUUAGAACACACAUGUAAUUAUUUGUAAUGAAUCACUGAUGACAUCUGGAGAACAAUGAAGUCCUCUUUUAAUGUUUGGAUGAUUAGCUAUGGGAAAGGUUUACUUUGAUGGUCUUUCAUUGUUAUCUCAAGAAUUUUGGAUAUUAUUUCCUGUUGCACUCUGGUGUACGUUAAGUGUUCCUACAUUUAUCCGUCCAUCAAACAUUUAUUGAGAGUCUAUUAAUUUCCUCUUACACUGAAGGCUCUGUGAAUAUGAGGAUGAAUAGGAAGAAUAGGGCAGGGUUCUCAAGAAGUUCAUCAGUUGAUAGAAGGGCAAGAUAUGUUGAGGCAGUUACAAAGUGCAUGAUAAAUAGAGAAGUACAAAGUGCAUUGGGACUAGGAAAAAAAUUAAAAAAAACUUCUAGAAAAAUAAAGUUCAUUUUCUCAGCUUGUUUGAAAGCCAUCAUCUGUUGUUACUGUUUUUUAUCAGGGAACAGUAGUCUGAUAAUUCACCUUGAUGCCUUUGGUACAUUUUUCAAUUGCUUUUAGCUCUUUUAAAAGGUGCUUGCCACAGGGUGGAAGGGUAGAGUGUAUGGAAGGCAAUGUGGCCAGAGCCUACUGGUAUAACCCAUUCCACAGGAGUGACUUUUCAUCUGUUCAGAGGAAGACCAGCGGCCAGUAGGGUUGCCCGUGUUUUCACAGUGGAUAUCUUGGAGCUCCUGAGGUUGGUACUGCUGGGACACAGAAUAUUCCCUACUGAAGAGAAUGUUAUAAAGUGCCUAUGUUCUUUACUUCUGCAAUUUUCAAGGAUUGUGCCCAUCUCUCAGUAACCUAGCCUUCUUUUGAAGACUUGCUUACAAGACAGAAAAUUAGGUGGACAUAGACUUCAGUUGAUGCCAGAUCCUCCUUUUUCCUUGGAGAAUCAUGAACCUUAAAGGAAAGUGCCAUUGGUAGUAGAGUCCCAUUUUACAGAUGGAAAAAUUGAGAUGAAAGAGAUUAAGUAACUUGGCCAAGGUUACAGGCUACUAUGCAGUAGAGACAGCUGCUCCAAAAGGGUCAGAUGCUGAGAUCCAUUGUCCACCCUGGCUCCUGCUCUGAAUCGACAUCAGUUUGCAACUAGUAGUUUCAUAAAUCAAGAAAAAGAAGAAAGGCAAAUUAAUGACUGUGUUAACUAGAGGGGCUCUGAAAAUUCUGCUUUACAUGUACUUAUUUUGAAUUUCGCUUUUAUUAUUAUGAACUUUGAAUUUCGCUUUUAUUAUAAUGAACUUGCAAACACAGCAUUGUAAAAGUAUAUGCACCUCCCAAAGAUGCUGGGAAGCAGUUGAUAUUUCAUCAUUUGAGGAUGUGCCUGCAAGUAGCAGAGGUGCAGGAGGAGACAAAUAAAAGGGAUGCCUGCAUCCUAUUUCCAUGAAUUUCUGUCCUCUGAGCUGAAAGACAAUUGACAAGUUGGCUAAUAAGACCUUGAAGAAAGAAGAUACUUUAACCUUUAAUUGAAAAAUCCCCAUUCCUUCUCAUUCAAGAAGCAAAAGAAGAAACUAUCAUGAUGGAAACUACAUGAUGACAAAUGGUAGCAUCAGUCAUUUUGAUCACAAGACGUGGACCAGCCCACCUUGGAGCUCACCAUGGUGGUGGCCUGGUCCUCAUGCAAGUUGUCAUGGAGCUCUUGGAAAUGGCUGUAGACUUUGCUGAGCAGGAGCAACUAUGUCUCUGGUUCUUAAGGAUUAAAAAGGUUUCUUGGAAGAACGUUCAUUUUCUGAAAUAAACAUCCUGUUGAGCCUGGUGGUACAUUGAAGAUGGAGAACAACUGAUGUCAAGGCACGUUUUGGUUGGAAGGGAUAGAAGUCCAACUCCAACGGGCUUGCCAGGGAUGGAACCUGCUGGCAAACAUAACCAAACUGUGGGAAGGGCAGGGUAUGGUUAACCUCAGGUUUCUGGAAGCAGAGUGUACAGUGCUGUGCCGUCCCUCUUCUCUCUGCUUCUCUCUGUGUAUUGGCCCUAUCCUCUCAGCGGGGCCCAUGAGCAGCAAACAGCAGCCACAGGAAGCUCCAGUGUCAGUGCCUCCCCCCGCUUUCCAGAGAAGCAGCAGCCCCUUCAUUAGCUCCGUAUCAAAGACAUCGACGGGCAGGACUUUGUGUGACCCAGUUUGGGUCACAUGUCUUUAUUUGGGAGGAAAUGGAUACAAUGAUGGCAGCCCUCAUGGAACCUCAUGUGUAGAAGGCCAAAUUUCCUCUCUCUAAAAGUGAAAUGUCACUGUCCAUUCAACUGAUGAAAAUCUUCCUUUUCAACAGGAAAACUACCAUGAUGUUAUCUGUUGGGUUUCAGCUUCUUACAGCAGUCAUCUUAAGAAUUAAACUGGUAUGGAUAAUCUGAUUAUGAACUCCUUGAGGGCAGGGACCAUAUUAUAUAAUACUUCUGUGUCCUCUGCUAUUUCUUAGCAGAAUUUUGAAAAUGUGCCAAGUGUUGACGUGGUUUGAUCACUUGUGAGAAUGGAGGAACCCAUAAUGUUAAUAAUUAAUGAUGGUUGUUGGAGUUACUUACCCAAAACCUUAUGAACUUAGCCUUCCCUAGCAGAUUUAGUUUCAUAAUUUGUUCAGUAUAAGCAAACACUAAAAAGGGAUAGGGGAAAGUUAUGAGUUGAGUAGUUGGGGAAAAGGUCGUUUUCAGUUUUAUUUAUGUCUUAGGGCUUGACAUUUUUUGUUUGCCUUGGAGGGGGUGCUUUUAAAAAUUCCUUUUUUGAAAACAAUAAAAUCUUAGAUUUUGGAUAACAGAUAUUUCUGCACUAUAUACCUCACUUAAGAUUUUCCAGGUAACAUUUAAAAGUGCCUUUUAUAGUUUUUCAUACCAUAUUGUAGGGAAGGCCAGGGUCAUUUUUAAAACUUAACUAUGCUCAAUACCUCCUCAGCACUAUAAAGUAAGGUCGAAUGUUGGUUAAAGCAAAGCUGUCUGGAAUCACCCUGUCAAAAGUACUGAUUUAUAAUCUUGCUACUCACAUUUCUUACUGUGGUGCCCUCCCUCUUGUUGGCUCCUACAUCUUUGAAGUACAGGGGGAACGAACUAAUAUGGUAGCUCCAAUAUGCAACUAAUCCUGCCAAUGAUGUCUCCCCUGGAAGUGUUUGAGAAAAGAAUUUCUUUUCCCAGUACGGAUUUAUGUAAACAUUUGUUCCAUUCACGAGUAGCACAUUAAUGCCUAAUUCUGGAAAAAAUACAAAGAAAAAACCUUU